GAGAGGGGUGUGCAUGAAGUCGUGGUCAUCUCUGGGAUUACAGCUGUAGGGUCGGGCCCUGCAGCUCUGUUUCGUCUUUACUCCUUUCCUCCUUUCCACAACCCCCACCCCUCCCCCUCUUUAUUGUUCUUUAUCUCUUCUUCUCACUCCCCUCCUCCCCACCCGACACCCCCUACUCUUCUCUCCCCAAAAGUAAUCAUUCCAAUCUAUCAUCACCACCCUUUCCCUCCUCUCCUCAUCUCCAUCUCCACAUCCCCCCUUGGAAGAAGCCGAGACUUGUCCGGAGAGAGAGUUCUCUGAAAGACUAGAGAGAGGUGGCACAAAGUGGGAAGCUUUUCUGUUGAGGGGAAUGUUGUCUGGCUCGAGGUCUAUAUCCCUGCAGAGUUUUUUUUUCCCCUACCUACAUGUCUCCUGGUGAAAGAAAUCUCGGACCAGGCUUCAUUCCCCCCAAUCGCAGCUUCCAUCAUCUCCACCUCCAAGAUCGGCAGAUCGCCAACUUUUCUGGUUAGUAAUAACAGUCUGAGGGAUCUAUCUGCAGGUGGGUGUGACUUCGCUCUCUUCUUUCUUGUUUUGGAUCUUGAUAUGCUACUGUUCAGUCAUAGUUGCCAAAAUUCCCGAUCCUUUUGUUUUUUUGUGAUGAUUAUGUGAGAGAAUGAGAAGGAGGGGGAGCAGAUUGGUGCAAUGAUGGUGGAUUUUGACCUCUUCGCUCUUAUUCCUUCGUCUGUUCCUUUAUUUCCCUCUUUUCCAGUCCUGACAGAAAGGGAAAAAAAGGUUUUCAUCAUUACCUUUUUGAAGGAAUCAUAUCCUUUUCUUUUUUUUUUUCAUAUAAAAAUUUUUCCCAUUCUCCUUAAGAAAAAAUAAUGCUUCUUCAUCUUUUUCGUGGUUAGCAUGCUUAUUUUUCAUGGAGCUUUGGAUUUGAUAGGGAUUCGAAGACUAGUUCCAAAAUAUCACCUUAUUUUUAUUUAUUCUUUGGAGUUUUCCUCUUUUUUCUCCUUGCUUGUCUCCACAAGGCACAAAGAAACGAAUACUGAAAUUACAGUUGUUAGAUAAAAGGGAAGUAUUACUUUGGUGGGUGCUUAUUUGCUAUGGAUCCUUUCGAAGCCUUUGGAAUAUUUGCUGUAAUUAAUGUACAACAAAUGAUUUUCAUCUUCAAAUAAAUAAAAGAAAUCCUUAGGUUCGCUAUAGUUAAAUGUCUUGACGAUGCAACCUUUGAUCUAUUGUGGUGGUGGCCUCGUGCUUAUAGGAAAAGGUGAAAGUAUUCUUUAUUACUUUGUUUUUAUGCACUUAAUUAUUUUGUCAUUUAUUAUGUGAUACAACUACUUCCAACGAGUCACAAGCAUGUAUUUGCCGUAACACACCUCUUUGCUUUAGAGAUCUUCUGAGGCAAAGCUUGAAUCCGGUGGGUUCAUGCAGGUAAAUGAUCUUUUGUAGGUUUUCCUUUCACCGGUCCUACAUUUUCCAUUUAAUUUCGUAUUGCACCCCAUAUUAUCUCAUUAUCUCUCUCUUACCAUAUGAUCAUUGCACAACCAGUGGAGAAUGCAUGCAAUUUUUUUUGCUUGAGUAAACUUAUGUGUACAAUUUGGCAACAACCAAGGAUCAACGAUUUAUUGGAAACUGAAAUUGAUUAUAAUGGUGGUGUAAAUAAUAGAUGCAAGCAUCUUGUGAUUCGUUAAAAAUAAUAAAAUGGAAUUACCUUUUGUCAUGUGUACUUGUUUCACGCGUUUGCGUGCUUAUUUUAAUGUACAUGUUUCAUAUGUCAAGAUCUUUUCUAAUAUUUCGAAUAGAAUACAAUUACCAUGGCACAUCCAAGCAAAAAGCUUUUGAACUAUAGCAUAUCGCACAAGUUUGGCUAUGGAUGAGCAUUGUUGUCUCGAGCCUACUUAUUAUUGAAGGCGAAGUGCCAUUAAUUUUUAAUUUCAUAGUUAUCAUGAAUCUUUGCAUGCCGCGUGUUUGCUUAGAGUCUUUAGGACAGUGGUAACACAUGAUUAUUAUGUCUGCAGGCCUAGUAAACUUGAAAUCAAAUUCUAAAUUCCCAAAUAUGAUAUGAGAAAGUUCUGUAAGACAAGCUCCACCUUCAGUGGAGUUGAGUGUCACAAUAGGUGGCUCUAUGUAGUUUUUCCACUACGAUGCAUCAUGACUUUAUCAUAAAUAUAAUUGUCUGAAAAACAUUUUUCUAAGUCCAAGAUGCAUUUCUUCUAAUGCGAUCAUUUCCCGGACAAGAUAAAUUAAUUUUGGUGGUUGUAGGCACAUGUUUAGAACCUCAAUUGAUUAGAUCUGGUGGCUACCUGGAUGGAAUUUUGAGCUUCAGGUGACUUAUCUGAUCUAAUUCGUAAAAUAACAUUCACAUAGUUGUCAUAACUUCUUCUCUUUUUAUCUUCUGAAAUUUUAUAUAUAAUCCGUUUCUUUCACCUUUUUGUCCACUUCUAAUCAUAGUGUUCCGUAUCUCUAAUCACAACAAUAACUUGUGUUAUAUAUUUGUUCGGGUACGUGUACCUUGAACAUGUUUAGUUUUACUCGUCUUAUAUUGCACUAUUCUGGCUUUUAAAUCAAAAGACUUUUCAAAAAAUAGUGUUUGAUAAAUUGAAAAGUGUUUGUAAGAAAUGUCAAAGAAACGCACCCUGAGCACCAUAUAGUUAAGGAUAUUCUACCACACAAUCAAGGACAUGUCAACUCGUUAUCCAUUUGUAAUGAAUACUUAAUUAAAACCAUAUUUUUCUUUUAAGCUUAAAUCUUCUACAUGCUACUCUUUUCAUAAAUUUCUUAUUUGUGUAUCUUAAAUAAAUACUUUUGAGAAUUAAUCCAAUUUGGAAGAAAGCUUGUUGAUUCUAAUUUUCCAGCUUCUGAUAUGUUAUUCUGUUUAUAUUUUAUUUACAUAUGUGCAAGGUGUUAGAGAUCUAAGAAAAUGGAAUGGUGGUUUUAAUUAGGAUUUAACUCCUUCAAAAUUGAAAUGUAUACAGAAUCUUUUUAAAUAUCUAAGAGAAAUAUAAACAUAAAAAAGAAAAAGGAACCUAAUGGAGGAAAAUAGCGUGCUACUGAGAUCAACAUUGAUUUCCCCCAAAUUAGUUGUUAAUUAUGGUGAGAAUAUAGACUCAAAUCUAAGUAGGCUUGAUUGCUUCAGCUUAAAAGGAAGUUUUAUUCUAUCACCUUAUCUAGAAACCCUUUAUUUUUAUAUUCAAUUUAGUUAGAAUUGAUUUUUUAAUCAUCCUAUAACCAAUAAAUAUAAGAAUAGCCAACGUGAUUAAAUCCUCCAAGAUCUUAGUUAAGAGGUUUUAAUUACAUUACUGUGGUGAUUAUGAAUGACUUAUGCUAGGAGUGAGGAGUCUUAACGUCUCUUCUCACAUAAAGUCCCUUUAGAUCAAAGCUCUUUGGACAAGCGGAUCUUGCUUCAAAGCCAUGGACAUGAAUUAGAAUGUAAAGCUACUUAUAAACAAACUUCUCCUUGGUGAAUCACUAAGGUGGCAUUCAUAGGUUGAAUUACGAGAACAUCCAAAAGUGCUAGUUAAUAGCUUCAAAGGAUAAAGGUAAUAUGAUUUUUUUAAGGGGAGGUCUAAGGUCUAUAUUUCAUAACAUUUUUGCCAAAAUCACAUCGUAGUAUCUUUUUAACCUCUAGAAAUUAUCUCUCUACAUUUGAUGAAUACUACCUAGAACUCAUCUAAGGUAUAUUAUAGCAAGGUCGAAACCUAUGUUUUACUUAGAUAAAACCAUGAUGGUUGAGUUAGGUUUUGGAUGAGUCCAUUUGGUCAGGUUACUUAUCUAGGUUUUGGUUGAUUAUGGAUAUAACUAGCUAUUGGACUAUGAAGAUGUCUAAGAUUAGGUAAUUAUGGUAAUGGACUGGACCUUGAACUCGGAAAUCAGAUACUUGUAGUAUCAAACAACGAUUGCUGAUUCGUUUAGCUAAGAUUGGUUUGAUUUGCAUUAGAUUAUUAUUAACAAGCUGAAAGGUAGUUUAGUCAUUUUUUUUGCAUGGUUUGUUCCAAAUAAAUUACCUCCAUCAUCAAAAGAUAAGAAGUGGUGCAUUCAAUGAUGAAUGGCACGCCAAAUGGAACUUGAUCACGAAAGCAAGCAUGCGGGCCUUUAUAAUUAUGUCAUCCGAGGCCCAGGAGGAUGUGCGAGUGACACUGGAUCACUGCUCCAUCAGAGAGUAUGGGCUUAUGGGUCCAAGUUGGGUUAGACAUUCUUAAUCUCGAGUCAGGCUCUGGCUUGCUCUUGGGUACCUCGCUACUCGGACUUGGAUCUGUUGGGAAUUCAUGCCUAUUAUUUUUAAUCCAAAUCCUACCCAUCAAACAUUUGGAUCGUGUUAGGACCGGAACCGAUUGGAUCAAAUACUAAUCAGAUCCACCUAUGAGUCUAAGACUCAAGGUGGCGGUAUUAAUUAAAACACAAAUUUUCAAACUUAAAAAUGGAGUUUGGAUCGUCUCCACACACGGACUCGAGAGGGCCGGUUGUCCUAUCACAAGCAUUUAUAUGGGGGCCCAUUCAAUUGUCACCAUCAUAUAAAUCAAGGAUAGCUGUGAUUGGAAAACUGGCCCUCUCCGGUCCAUGUACAAAACCGAGAGGAUCCCGACUCUUAAAAGUGUACAAUAAUAACAUAGGGUAUAUCCCAUAAGUUUCAUCAAAAUGCGAGAAAUACAAGUUGGACUGGCUUCAUGAUUAUCAAACCCCAUAAUCUAGUUUAUAGGUUCAGUCAAAAAACAAGAAAAAAAAGCCGUGCUCCAAUAUAUUUGUGAGCGAGAGAGGUAAGGUUUAGGUGGGAUAAAACUUAUGUAACCAAAUUUAAAAACACUCAUGGAUCUACCUUUGGGCCCAUACCUGAUCACAAGUCUGAGAGUCCAUAUCAGGUUAGAUCUGUCAGUCUUGUUGUUGGAUCCACUACGCUCAACCAGACGCCUAAAAACGGUUUUGGAGCAUGGAACAGGGUGGCGAAGGGUACAGAAACAGAGAGGGAAAACUGCGACUGGGAUUCGAUGGACUAGUAGAGAGAGAUUUGGCCGCUAGUGUUGGCAUUCCAGGCCAUGGAUGGCUGGCGGAAAACAACUACUACUCCACAGGAGAAGAGAGGGUUUAUGUUAUGUCCAUAUAUACCAGUACCAACCACUGGACUCGGUCAUUUGGAGUUCUUUAACGUACUCAAGCAUUCCUGUGUACAUAAAAUAACAUAUAUUUUUUAUAAUAUAAACAUGCUAUUUUAUUAAUAGUAUUUGCCUAAA